ACCUACGGGGCGCAGCAGGGAAUCUUCCACAAUGGGCGAAAGCCUGAUGGAGCAACGCCGCGUGGGUGAAGAAGGUCUUCGGAUCGUAAAACCCUGUUGUUAGAGAAGAAAGUGCGUGAGAGUAACUGUUCACGUUUCGACGGUAUCUAACCAGAAAGCCACGGCUAACUACGUGCCAGCAGCCGCGGUAAUACGUAGGUGGCAAGCGUUAUCCGGAUUUAUUGGGCGUAAAGGGAACGCAGGCGGUCUUUUAAGUCUGAUGUGAAAGCCUUCGGCUUAACCGGAGUAGUGCAUUGGAAACUGGG
rnacentral:rRNA from 1 species